rnacentral:snoRNA from 1 species
UAUGCACCCUAACCCAACGGCCAUAUCAAAUGAAUGUUAUGAUCUUGUCAGGUGUGCUAAAAUCAAUGUGUUCCUUGUCGCCUUUCUCUGAAGCUGCUGUGCCGUUAAGUUAAUUCAAGGUUCAACAUUA